UACGUAGGGGGCAAGCGUUGUCCGGAAUCAUUGGGCGUAAAGCGCGCGUAGGCGGCCAGAUUAGUCCGGUGUGAAAGUCAGAGGCUCAACCUUUGAAUGCCGCUGGAAACUGUCUGGCUUGAGUCCGGAAGGGGCGAGUGGAAUUCCUGGUGUAGCGGUGAAAUGCGCAGAUAUCAGGAGGAACACCAAUGGCGAAGGCAGCUCGCUGGAACGGUACUGACGCUGAGGCGCGAGAGCGUGGGGAGCAAACAGG
rnacentral:rRNA from 1 species